CCUACGGGAGGCAGCAGUGGGGAAUAUUGGGCAAUGGGCGCAAGCCUGACCCAGCAACGCCGCGUGAAGGAAGAAGGCUUUCGGGUUGUAAACUUCUUUUCUCAGGGACGAAGCUAGUGACGGUACCUGAGGAAGAAGCCACGGCUAACUACGUGCCAGCAGCCGCGGUAAUACGUAGGUGGCAAGCGUUAUCCGGAUUUACUGGGUGAAAAGGGCGUGUAGGCGGGAAAGCAAGUCAGAUGUGAAAACCAUGGGCUCAACCUGUGGCCUGUAUUUGAAACUGUUUUUCUUGAGUACAGGAGAGGCAGACGGAAUUCCUAGUGUAGCGGUGAAAUGCGUAGAUAUUAGGAGGAACACCAGUGGCGAAGGCGGUCUACUGGACAGCAACUGACGCUGAGGCGCGAAAGCGUGGGGAGCAAACAGGAUUAGAUACCCGAGUAGUC
rnacentral:rRNA from 1 species